rnacentral:rRNA from 1 species
AGAAUGAACGCUGGCGGCGUGCUUAACACAUGCAAGUCGCACGAGAACUCUUUAAGCUUGCUUAAAGAUAGUAAAGUGGCGCACGGGUGAGUAACGCGUGGGCAAUCUACCUCCGAAUUGGGGAUAACUCCGCGAAAGCGGGGCUAAUACCGAAUAAUAUCCCAAGAACUUUGGCUUUUGGGAUCAAAGGUGGCCUCUACAUGUAAGCUACUGUUUGGAGAUGAGCCCGCGUACCAUUAGCUUGUUGGUAGGGUAAUGGCCUACCAAGGCGACGAUGGUUAGCUGGUCUGAGAGGAUGAUCAGCCACACUGGAACUGACACACGGUCCAGACUCCUACGGGAGGCAGCAGUGAGGAAUUUUGCGCAAUGGGGGAAACCCUGACGCAGCAACGCCGCGUGAGUGAUGAAGGCUUUCGAGUCGUAAAGCUCUGUCAAGUGAGAAGAACCUGUCCCGCGAUAAUACCGCGGGAUACUGACGGUAUCACUGAAGGAAGCACCGGCUAACUCCGUGCCAGCAGCCGCGGUAAUACGGGGGGUGCAAGCGUUAUUCGGAAUUAUUGGGCGUAAAGGGCGCGUAGGCGGCCUUUUAAGUCAGAUGUGAAAGCCCGGGGCUUAACCCCGGAAGUGUAUUUGAAACUAAAAGGCUUGAGUAUGGGAGAGGGAAGUGGAAUUCCUGGUGUAGCGGUGAAAUGCGUAGAUAUCAGGAGGAACACCGGUGGCGAAGGCGACUUCCUGGACCAAUACUGACGCUAAGGCGCGAAGGCGUGGGUAGCAAACAGGAUUAGAUACCCUGGUAGUCCACGCAGUAAACGGUGAACACUAGGUGUAGCGGGUAUUGACCCCUGCUGUGCCGCAGCUAACGCAUUAAGUGUUCCGCCUGGGGAGUACGGUCGCAAGAUUAAAACUCAAAGGAAUUGACGGGGGCCCGCACAAGCGGUGGA